AUUCAGUUCCAGGUAUUUUGCAGCUAAUAUUAACUAAAAUUAGGUUCCAGUUAGCCACUCACCAUGAGGAGUGUUCACUUCGUGUUUUUGGUCCUUUUUGUGAUGUUCUCCUUUACUGAUAUUAAGUAUGCACUGGGUGGCUUCAGGGAACAAGCGUUACCAUCUAUUCAUAAGUGUGGAGUAGGAGAGGGUUUUUGUCUUCAAGAGUGCCCAGAUAAUUUAAAGACAGAAGGUACCUGUUUAUCUGGGACUUUCAAAUGCUGCCUACCAAAGAAUUAAUAAAUAAAAACAGGAAAACAUGAUCCAUCCAGGGUCAAAGGAUAGAAGAUGAGAGAAAAUAAAAUGCAGUGAAUAAAAAUAUUCUUCUGUUAAUAAAGGAAAUCUCAUUUGAGAAGAUGCUUUCAAAGCAGAAA